CUCUGACCCAGCGGGUCGGUAACAUUGCCAAGGUGUGGCGCGGUUGCUGCAUAGAGGCAUUCACUGAUGCAGACUCCUAUAGGGUUAACUGAGAGUACACUAGGACACUGCGAGUCUGUUGAUUGCCGUGCGACCACCAGGUCACACGUUGAAUUUCCACAUAGGCAUCUAGAAAAUAAGAAUUGGUUCUUCACAGGAACUCGAAUUAUGAUAUUGUCAAUAAGCUGAAGGCAUUCGAUUCAAUUCCGUCAGACAUGUCCCUUGAUGGUAAAGUCCUGUGCAUUGCUGCUGCAUUCAUGGUGGACUACUACAGCAAUGAUAAUAAGGAUAAGAAUUAACAACGGAAAACAAGAAAGAACCUGCUAAUAACUGACAAUCAUAAUACAGAGGAACAGCGCAUGACAAUAUGAAUUCACAUACAUUAAAAAUAUGCUACUUGAGCAAGCAGGGAUCUUUAGUGUAUCUGAUAUGUAGUCAUUGUUUGCGUGUAAUCAUAGAAUCGAAAGGAGCCUACAUAUGAAGUAGUAUAUUAUAUAUCCUUGUUUUAAAAAGUCACACAUAUACAAAUUAUUUUUCACAUCUCUAUUGUAUUAUGUAUGUUUCCUAUAUUUAAUUCGCCUUUAUAUUUUUAUCAUAUCAGAUGUGUCAUUUAUUAAGCACCAAGAUAGUUCACAAUAAUGAAAAUUAUUUUAGAUCGUAAUUGUGUUAGAAA